GUCGAACGAACUCUGGUAUUGAUUGGUGCUUGCAUCAUGAUUUACAUUUGAGUGAGUGGCGAACUGGUGAGUAACACGUGGGAAACCUGCCCAGAAGCGGGGGAUAACACCUGGAAACAGAUGCUAAUACCGCAUAACAACUUGGACCGCAUGGUCCGAGUUUGAAAGAUGGCUUCGGCUAUCACUUUUGGAUGGUCCCGCGGCGUAUUAGCUAGAUGGUGGGGUAACGGCUCACCAUGGCAAUGAUACGUAGCCGACCUGAGAGGGUAAUCGGCCACAUUGGGACUGAGACACGGCCCAAACUCCUACGGGAGGCAGCAGUAGGGAAUCUUCCACAAUGGACGAAAGUCUGAUGGAGCAACGCCGCGUGAGUGAAGAAGGGUUUCGGCUCGUAAAACUCUGUUGUUAAAGAAGAACAUAUCUGAGAGUAACUGUUCAGGUAUUGACGGUAUUUAACCAGAAAGCCACGGCUAACUACGUGCCAGCAGCCGCGGUAAUACGUAGGUGGCAAGCGUUGUCCGGAUUUAUUGGGCGUAAAGCGAGCGCAGGCGGUUUUUUAAGUCUGAUGUGAAAGCCUUCGGCUCAACCGAAGAAGUGCAUCGGAAACUGGGAGACUUGAGUGCAGAAGAGGACAGUGGAACUCCAUGUGUAGCGGUGAAAUGCGUAGAUAUAUGGAAGAACACCAGUGGCGAAAGCGGCUGUCUGGUCUGUAACUGACGCUGAGGCUCGAAAGUAUGGGUAGCAAACAGGAUUAGAUACCCUGGUAGUCCAUACCGUAACGAUGAAUGCUAAGUGUUGGAGGGUUUCCGCCCUUCAGUGCUGCAGCUAC
rnacentral:rRNA from 1 species